rnacentral:tRNA from 1 species
GGUAAAAUGGCUGAGGAAAGCAUUAGACUGUAAAUCUAAAGACAGAGGUUAUAGCCUCUUUUUGCCA